rnacentral:rRNA from 1 species
CGAACGCUUUUUCUUUCACCGGAGCUUGCUCCACCGAAAGAAAAGGAGUGGCGAACGGGUGAGUAACACGUGGGUAACCUGCCCAUCAGAAGGGGAUAACACUUGGAAACAGGUGCUAAUACCGUAUAACAAUCGAAACCGCAUGGUUUCGGUUUGAAAGGCGCUUUUGCGUCACUGAUGGAUGGACCCGCGGUGCAUUAGCUAGUUGGUGAGGUAACGGCUCACCAAGGCAACGAUGCAUAGCCGACCUGAGAGGGUGAUCGGCCACAUUGGGACUGAGACACGGCCCAAACUCCUACGGGAGGCAGCAGUAGGGAAUCUUCGGCAAUGGACGGAAGUCUGACCGAGCAACGCCGCGUGAGUGAAGAAGGUUUUCGGAUCGUAAAACUCUGUUGUUAGAGAAGAACAAGGAUGAGAGUAGAAUGUUCAUCCCUUGACGGUAUCUAACCAGAAAGCCACGGCUAACUACGUGCCAGCAGCCGCGGUAAUACGUAGGUGGCAAGCGUUGUCCGGAUUUAUUGGGCGUAAAGCGAGCGCAGGCGGUUUCUUAAGUCUGAUGUGAAAGCCCCCGGCUCAACCGGGGAGGGUCAUUGGAAACUGGGAAACUUGAGUGCAGAAGAGGAGAGUGGAAUUCCAUGUGUAGCGGUGAAAUGCGUAGAUAUAUGGAGGAACACCAGUGGCGAAGGCGGCUCUCUGGUCUGUAACUGACGCUGAGGCUCGAAAGCGUGGGGA